AGUGAACGCUGGCGGUAGGCCUAACACAUGCAAGUCGAACGGCAGCACAGUAAGAGCUUGCUCUUACGGGUGGCGAGUGGCGGACGGGUGAGGAAUACAUCGGAAUCUACUUUUUCGUGGGGGAUAACGUAGGGAAACUUACGCUAAUACCGCAUACGACCUACGGGUGAAAGCAGGGGAUCUUCGGACCUUGCGCGAUUGAAUGAGCCGAUGUCGGAUUAGCUAGUUGGCGGGGUAAAGGCCCACCAAGGCGACGAUCCGUAGCUGGUCUGAGAGGAUGAUCGGCCACACUGGAACUGAGACACGGUCCCGACUCCUACGGGAGGCAGCAGUGGGGAAUAUUGGACAAUGGGCGUAAGCCUGAUCCAGCCAUACCGCGUGGGUGAAGAAGGCCUUCGGGUUGUAAAGCCCUUUUGUUGGGAAAGAAAAGCAGCAGGUUAAUACCCCGCUGUUCUGACGGUACCCAAAGAAUAAGCACCGGCUAACUUCGUG
rnacentral:rRNA from 1 species